CCUACGGGUGGCUGCAGUCGAGAAUCUUCCGCAAUGGGCGAAAGCCUGACGGAGCGACGCCGCGUGAUGGAUGAAGUCUCUCGGGACGUAAACAUCUUUUAUGCGUGAGGAAGUUUUGACGUUAGCGCAUGAAUAAGGGGCUCCUAACUCUGUGCCAGCAGGAGCGGUAAUACAGAGGCCCCAAGCGUUACCCGGAAUUAUUGGGCGUAAAGGGUGUGUAGGUGGCAGUGUUAGUCUUUUGUAAAAGCUCUGGGGCUUAACCCCGGAAGUGCGAGAGAAACGGCACAGCUUCGAGGGCGAGAGAGGUACAGGGAACUCAUGGUGUAGGGGUGAAAUCCGUUGAUAUCAUGGGGAACACCAUAUGCGAAGGCGCUGUACUGGCUCGUUCCUGACACUGAAACACGAAAGCGUGGGUAGCGAAUGGGAUUAGAUACCCUUGUAGUC
rnacentral:rRNA from 1 species